UGGGGAAUAUUGCACAAUGGGCGCAAGCCUGAUGCAGCCAUGCCGCGUGUAUGAAGAAGGCCUUCGGGUUGUAAAGUACUUUCAGCGGGGAGGAAGGUGUUGUGGUUAAUAACCGCAGCAAUUGACGUUACCCGCAGAAGAAGCACCGGCUAACUCCGUGCCAGAAGCCGCGGUAAUACGGAGGGUGCAAGCGUUAAUCGGAAUUACUGGGCGUAAAGCGCACGCAGGCGGUCUGUCAAGUCGGAUGUGAAAUCCCCGGGCUCAACCUGGGAACUGCAUUCGAAACUGGCAGGCUAGAGUCUUGUAGAGGGGGGUAGAAUUCCAGGUGUAGCGGUGAAAUGCGUAGAGAUCUGGAGGAAUACCGGUGGCGAAGGUGGCCCCCUGGACAAAGACUGACGCUCAGGUGCGAAAGCGUGGGGAGCAAACA
rnacentral:rRNA from 1 species